CCUACGGGGGGCAGCAGUGGGGAAUAUUGCACAAUGGGGGAAACCCUGAUGCAGCGACGCCGCGUGAGUGAAGAAGUAAUUCGUUAUGUAAAGCUCUAUCAGCAGGGAAGAUAAUGACGGUACCUGAGUAAGAAGCCCCGGCUAACUACGUGCCAGCAGCCGCGGUAAUACGUAGGGGGCAAGCGGUAUCCGGAUUUACGGGGUGGAAAGGGAGCGUAGACGGCAGUGCAAGGCUGGAGUGAAAGGCGGGGGCUCAACCCCCGGACUGCUCUGGAAACUGUACGGCUGGAGUGCAGGAGAGGUAAGUGGAAUUCCUAGUGUAGCGGUGAAAUGCGUAGAUAUUAGGAGGAACACCAGUGGCGAAGGCGGCUUACUGGACUGUAACUGACGUUGAGGCUCGAAAGCGUGGGGAGCAAACAGGAUUAGAUACCCUUGUAGUC
rnacentral:rRNA from 1 species